rnacentral:rRNA from 1 species
CCUACGGGAGGCAGCAGUGGGGAAUAUUGCACAAUGGGGGGAACCCUGAUGCAGCGACGCCGCGUGAGUGAAGAAGUAUUUCGGUAUGGAAAGCUCUAUCAGCAGGGAAGAAAAUGACGGUACCUGACUAAGAAGCCCCGGCUAACUACGUGCCAGAGGCCGCGGUAAUACGUAGGGGUCAAGCGUUAUCCGGAUUUACUGGGGGUAAAGGGAGCGUAGACGGUUAGGCAAGUCUGAAGUGAAAGCCUAAGGCUCAACCAUGGGACUGCUUUGGAAACUGUAAAACAGGAGUGCAGGAGAGGUAAGCGGAAUUCCUAGUGUAGCGGUGACAUGCGUAGAUAUUAGGAGGAACACCAGUGGCGAAGGCGGCUUACUGGACUGUAACUGACGUUGAGGCUCGAAGGCGUGGGGAGCAAACAGGAUUAGAUACCCGAGUAGUC